rnacentral:rRNA from 1 species
CGGGACGGGUGAGUAAUGUCUGGGAAACUGCCCGAUGGAGGGGGAUAACUACUGGAAACGGUAGCUAAUACCGCAUAGCGUCGCAAGACCAAAGAGGGGGACCUUCGGGCCUCUUGCCAUCGGAUGUGCCCAGAUGGGAUUAGCUAGUAGGUGGGGUAACGGCUCACCUAGGCGACGAUCCCUAGCUGGUCUGAGAGGAUGACCAGCCACACUGGAACUGAGACACGGUCCAG